rnacentral:lncRNA from 10 species
CCCCACCCACCCCACUCCUUUUCUAGGUCAGAGCCCACGAGGGGGCGAGAACGAGGUUACAGAGGACUCGGGGGAGUCUGAGAGGGUCACCUGGUCCAGCUUUCUGGGCCCUGCGGGACGAGACUGCCCCAGACUGUCCCGGUCUGUGCUAGUGGGGCGGAGCCUGUGUGUGUUUGAAGGAGGGAAAACAAAUCCAGGUUCUGCAUUCGGAUAUGCAUUUCAUUCAUCCAUGCGUCCGCCUGCCUGCCUGCGCUUCCAUCCAUCCAUCCAUCCGUCCGUCCAUCCAUCCAUCCAUCCAUCCAUGCAUCCUAUUUCCAGCGAGACGUCAGAGAACUCACAGUCUUCUUGGGGAAGAGGUCAUAAACUUGGGCCUGGGUGGUUGCCCUAUCCAACUGAGGUCGCCUUUGCGAUCCCUGCUGCAAAUAGGCAGUGACUAGUCCAGGAGUGCAGCUGGGAGGAACUGCUCGCCGGAUAGAAGGGAAGAAAGGAGAUUCUAGGCAGAGGCUGGAAUGCAAUGAUGCGAUCUCGGCUCACUGCAACCUCCACCUCUCGGCUUCAAGCAAUUCUCCUGCCUCAGCCUCCCGGGUAGCUGGUACUACAGGCUCCUGCCACCACGCCCAGCAAUUUUUGUAUUUUUAGUAGCGACAGGGUUGUACCAUGUUGGCCAUCCUGACCUCAGGUGAUCUGCCUGCCUUGGCCUCCCAAAGUGCUGGGAUUACAGGCAUGAGCCACUGUGUUCAGUUGGCCAUACUGAUAGACUCCAGGCUUUGGGAAACUGAUGGCAUUUGGGGAUUUCCCCAGCAUGUCCUGUGAUGCUCUUGAUUCCUUGUGUCUCCAGUCAUGACAGAGAGAAGGCAUUCCUGGCUUGUUGGUCCACAUUUAUGAUUUGUUGAUGUUGUUGUUGAGAUGGAGUCUCACCUUGUCGCCCAGGCUGGAGUACAGUGGCGUGAUCUUGGCAACCUCCAUCUCUUGGGUUCAAGUGAUUCCUCUGCCUCAGCCUCCCAAGUAGCUGGGAUUAAAGGGGCGUGCCAGCAUGCCUGGCUAAUUUUCAUAUUUUUAGUAGAGAUGGGGUUUCACCAUGUUGGCCAGGCUGGUCUCGAACUCCUGACCUCAGGUGAUCCACCAGCCUUGGCCUCCCAAAGUGCUGGGAUUACAGGCGUGAGCCACUGUGCCUGGCCUGUGAUUUUUUUAUUUUUUCAGAAGGGGUCUCGCUCUAUUGCCCAGGUUGGUUCUGAACUCCUGGGCUCAAGAGAUCCUCCCGCCUCAGCAUCCUGAGUAGCUGGGACUACAAGUGUGAGCCACUGUGCCAGGCACAAUGGUCUUUUGUAGUGGAGAACCUCCUCCCUGGGACCACUGGAAGACACAGGCCAAGUUAUUGCUGAUAGGAAAACCAAGAGGUCCAACAGAACCCAAGAUGGAUCGGAUGGAAGAUGGCACAGGUGCCCGGGACGUGCAGCACUGGAGUGGGUGAUGGAUCCUGGAAUCUCUCCAUCCCUUUUUGGAGUGUACAUUCUGCAGUGAGAAACAGUGCCCCAGCACAAGUACUGAUGAGCUCUCCACUGCCGAAAUACAACUCUGUGACCAUGGCCAGCAGGAAGCCACUGAUGAGGGGAAACACAGUGUGACGGUGCCCAGGGAAAGAACCUGCUUCUUUGUGACAUCACGGAGCUGCUGAGCCGCUUGAACUUGGAGCCACUUUGAGUUGGGAAUUCUGGCUUUUUUGCAGCUGAAAGUGUGCCAACCCCGUACAAGAAGAACAGCUGCAGGUCUGCAUGUGGCGGCUCGCGCCAACACUUUGGGAGGCUGAGACAGGAGCAUCUGCUUGAGCCCAGGAGUUCGAUACCAGCCUGGGCAACAUAGUGGGAUCCUGUCUCUACAAAAAAUAAAAGUGAUGAGAAGAAUAGCCCUAAAAUCAUGAGAGUGGUUGCCCCUCGGGACGGCACCAAGGAAAUAGGACUGGUGCGGGGAGUAUAAUAGGAAUUCAUCUUUAUCUGUUAUCCUUUGUCUUUUUAUUUUGAGACGGAGUCUCAUUCUGUCACCCAGGCCGGAGUGCAGUGGUGUAAUCUCGGCUCACUGCAAUCUCUGCCUCCUGGGUUCAAGUGAUUCUCCUGCCUCAGCCUCCCGAGUAGCUGGGAUUACAGGCGCACGCCACCGUGCCUGGCUAAUUUUUUGUGUUUUUAGUAGAGACGAGGUUUCACCAUGCUGGCCAAGCUGGUCUUGAACUCCUGACUUCAUGAUCUGCCUGCCUUGGCCUCCCAAAGUGCUGGGAUCACAGGCGUGAGCUACCAAGCCCGGCCCUAUCUUUUUUAAAAUUAAAAAUAUCUGACACACGAGCCAGGUGCUGUGGCUCACACCUGUAAUCCCAGCACUUUGGGAGACUGAGGAGGGAGAAUCACUUGAGGCCAGGAAUUCCAGAUCAGCAUGGGCAACAUGGUAAGACCUCCGCCUCUACGACAAAUAGCCAGAUGUGGUGGCACACACCUGUAGUUCCAGCUACUCAGUAGGCUGAGGCAGAAGGAUUGCUGGGGCCCACAAAGUCAAGGCUGCAGUGAGCUGUGAUCAUGGCACUGCACUCCAGCCUGGGCAACAGAGUGAGACCCUAUCUCAGAAAAGAAAAACUCUGACAUAAAUGUGAUAAAAUGUUGACACUGUUUCUAUUAUAGCUGUAGGUGUGUGCACAGUUUACAGUUUUGUGUAAAUUCUUUCACUGUUUCCAAAAUAAGUAAAAACUAUUCCAUGGAAGUGUUUUAAAAUGGGAUCUUAAAAAGAAGGAGGAGGAGAAAAAGAAGAAGGAAAAAGAAAGAAGUUUUUCACUAUGUGAUUCUGUUUUCUCGAACUCCUGACCUCAAGUGAUCCACUCGCCAUGGCCUCCCAAAGUCCUGGGAUUACAGGCAUGAGCCACUGCGCCCGGCCUGAUUAUUUCUGUUUUCUAAAGCCUGGUCUGAGAACAACUGGAAAUGCCCUCCUCUCUCACACUCUGAGAAGCACUAGGAUUAGGUAGCAAGUUUGGCUCCCUGGGCCCCGCCACCCUGACCUCCUGCUCACGAUGGCUCUGGGUGCUGGGCUCCUUAGGACUGGGACGAGGCCAUUGCCCCUGGAAGCUAUGCAACAAGGAUCUGAUGGGUCCUGACCCCGCCCAUGCCCAUGGGGGUGUGUGCUGGGGGAGCAGGGGGCAUCCCCUGGACUUCCCAGAAGGAGGCAGGAUUCUCCGAGCUGGCUCCAUCCCAGCUCCUCCACAGGCAUGGGUCAGCAAAACCAGCCCCAGGAAUCGGAGACAUUUGGCAGGAAACAAGUGCUGUCUGGAACACAUCCCUAGGGGGCUGGCUUUAAUGAUGUCCUAGUUUGGGUUUCCCAGAAACUGACCCUGAGACAAGGAUUCUAAAGCAAGUAGUUUGUUUGGUAGGUGAUCCCAGGUAGUGGAGUGGUGGGUCGGUGGGUGAGACAGGAAGACAGCGACAAGCGUCGUGUUACCAACUCAGUCACCACCGUGGGCAAUGGGAGGUGAACCCCACUGAGGAGCUCACAGAGACAGCGUACAACACGCUGCUCAGGGUUACUGCAUCCAAAGGCAAAGGAGCUGGGGUAUUGAUACUCUGCCUGUCAGUCACCGGGGAGAGCUGCUGGGGCAGUGGGGAGGAGGGGAGGCAGCACUCUGGAUGCCAGCAGAGCAGGCUGAGGCCAGAGAAGACCCUGGGAAAAAGAGAUGAGGAUGCUGGCAGGUCGGAGUGGGGAAGGGGUGGGGAAAUGACAUGUCUGCCACCAAUUUCUAGCACUUAGAACAGUGACCAGCUGGGUCUGGCAUGAUGCCCACAUAUUCCUCUGUUACACAGCCUCUGUCCUCUACCUGGUAACAGAACCCCCGUUUCCUCUGGGUACCCACAUUCCCUGAUACAUCCUUCCCUACCCAUUAGGGGUUCCAAUGGUGGGGUUCACUUGUUCGACUGUAGGGGAGGACUUGUGACCCAGCCCCCACUGAUCAGUGUAUAACACCCCCAUGGCCUUAGCAAUUGUUUCUGAGAUUGGUCUGUUCCCUGAGCCAGGCUGGUAGGAUAGAAGCUGUCUUUCUAUGGCGCUGAAAAGCAGUAGGAUGUAAGCCUGGAGUUGCCGCAAGCAGGAAGAACCCCUCAGAGGAGGAGGCCAACACAGCAGACGGCAGAGCCAAGAGAGAGCCCACCCGGCAGCUCAGACACCUCUUCCUCCUUUCUGCAGCCGAGAUCUUGCACUCCUCAACUCCGG